CAGCAGUUUCUAGACCCAGUCUGGACAGAGGGAGAGACGCGCUCAAGCGAAGCGUGAAAGCUCGUGAACGCAAGCACUGCGCCGCCGGGAUCCUGAGAGGGACUCACCACCUCGAGAAGCGGCGACAGAGCCUCGGGGUCCACAGUUGGGCAGCUGAGAGAGUCAUUACUGUGAUCUGUGGGACAUUCUAUACAUGAGCUGGUAUUUCUCUUCCUUCUCCUCAGUCUCUAAGGUGGAGAAACGGAUUUUUCUGAGGAUGUUGGCAAGGGUUGCAGAAGAAAAGUUUAAGGAUGAGUUGAUUUCCCAGGAUAAGAAAACCUGAGUUGCUCUCUGGAACAUUAUUUCAUGCUAUUAUGCCCUGUGUUUUUGUAUGAUUCUGGUUAGGGUGGACCACAAGGGAGAUUCUUGGAAGAUUUGGAGGAUGGAAAGGAAGAAGCAGCAUUUUGUAUUCAUGUAUGUUGUUGCUGACUUGCUGGCUUACCUUAUUGGUGUGAAGCAUCAGAAGGACCUGAACGUACUCGGCCUUUCCCUGGAUCCUCUUUUAGCUUCUCCAACUUCUCAACCUGGAUUAUGUAUUUAGCUUUGUAAUGAAGGGCCCUGACUUUUACAGGAUAACCUCAGCACCAAGGUCAGAGGUAGCAGAACUGACCUGGUUUGCAGUCUGUCCUCAUGAGAUCCCAGUUCAUGCUAGUGGUUUCUCAUCUGACCUCAGUCUUCCCCAGUUUACAGCCAUUGUCCUGGCCCAAUUACCCACUCAAUUUUAAGCUCCAGCACCUGACCCAGAGGCAAAAAUCUUACAGAAAAAUGCUUAACCAGCUUUGACAAUUGGGUGAAGGAAAUCAACGAUUCCUAUCUGAAUUUCAGAAAGAAGUCCUGGUCAAGGAUUUUUGUUAAGUAUUCUUGGCCAUUGCCUAUUUCUGUUUCACAUAACCAGCUUCAAUGUCCACAAAUGAUAUUUUUCAUUAGCAGUUAAACUAAAUUGCAAGAUGAAGACUGUUACCCUGAGGUAUCAUGUAUCUCUCUGAUGGUAUGGCAACUUCUGUUAGGGAAAAGGGGACAACAGCGGCAGCCUGAACUUAUCAGAGCUCUACCUCCUAUUGUAGAGUCACAUGCGUUUGCAAGUCAACCGUGUCAAGUCUGUCUUCUCUUAUAAUUUUCUUCAAAUAGAUGAGUAUGUCGUUUUCUUAUUUACCAUGUUUAUUACAAAGGAGCCAUACAGAUACAAAAUAAGAAACUAGGAGACAAACACA